rnacentral:rRNA from 1 species
UACAGAGGAUGCAAGCGUUAUCCGGAAUGAUUGGGCGUAAAGCGUCUGUAGGUGGCUUUUUAAGUCCGCCGUCAAAUCCCAGGGCUCAACUCUGGACAGGCGGUGGAAACUACCAAGCUGGAGUACGGUAGGGGCAGAGGGAAUUUCCGGUGGAGCGGUGAAAUGCGUAGAGAUCCGGAGGAACACCAGCGGCGAAGGCGGCAUCCUGGACUGGUACUGACGCUCAGGAGCGAAAGCGUGGGGAGCGAUCCGG